AGAGUUUGAUCCUGGCUCAGGAUGAACUCUGGCGGCGUGCUUAACACAUGCAAGUCGAACGAAGCACUUUAACUUGAUUUCCUCGGAAUGAUUGAUAUUGUGACUGAGUGGCGGACGGGUGAGUAACGCGUGGGUAACCUGCCUCAUACAGGGGGAUAACAGUUAGAAAUGACUGCUAAUACCGCAUAAGCGCACAGUAUCGCAUGAUACAGUGUGAAAAACUCCGGUGGUAUGAGAUGGACCCGCGUCUGAUUAGCUAGUUGGUGGGGUAACGGCCUACCAAGGCGACGAUCAGUAGCCGACCUGAGAGGGUGACCGGCCACAUUGGGACUGAGACACGGCCCAAACUCCUACGGGAGGCAGCAGUGGGGAAUAUUGCACAAUGGGCGAAAGCCUGAUGCAGCGACGCCGCGUGAACGAAGAAGUAUUUCGGUAUGUAAAGUUCUAUCAGCAGGGAAGAUAAUGACGGUACCUGACUAAGAAGCACCGGCUAAAUACGUGCCAGCAGCCGCGGUAAUACGUAUGGUGCAAGCGUUAUCCGGAUUUACUGGGUGUAAAGGGAGCGCAGGCGGUACGCCAAGUCUGAUGUGAAAGCCCGGGGCUCAACCCCGGUACUGCAUUGGAAACUGUCGAACUAGAGUGUCGGAGGGGUAAGUGGAAUUCCUAGUGUAGCGGUGAAAUGCGUAGAUAUUAGGAGGAACACCAGUGGCGAAGGCGGCUUACUGGACGAUAACUGACGCUGAGGCUCGAAAGCGUGGGGAGCAAACAGGAUUAGAUACCCUGGUAGUCCACACUGUAAACGAUGA
rnacentral:rRNA from 1 species